GCCUGUGUGUGAGUGCACACAUGUGUGCGUGUUCAUCUUCUGUGUUGUCCCAUUGGAACCACCUACGUAUCCAUCCAGUUCGCACAAGCGUCCUUUCCAGCCUCUCAUCUACAGGAGUAACUUGAGACAUAAAGACAAGUUACAGAAGGCAAGUGUUCCUGGGGCACACAGUGUUCCCAAUCGCAGUUUUACCUUUUUUUUUUUUUUGGUACUUUCUCUUUGUUUCACACAGACACAUGCACAAACAUACAAAUACACACAUAGACAUAUACACGUGCAAAUACACACUAGCACACAUGCACAUGGGCACACACAUGCGUGCACCACCUCUCCUGAACUGUCUUGGAGAAAGUUUUACAUCAUCUCAUGCCUGAAUUCUUCAUUGGACAUUCUUUUACACAACCACCCUACAGUUAAAAUUCUCAGAAACUUUAACAUUGAUAAAAAUAAUUUAUCUGGUCUAUCAUUUCUGUUCCAGGAUCACUUCCCUCCAGCACGCCUCUAGGAGUCAAGGAGUAAUUUAAUUACCCCAUCCCUUUAGCCUCUCUGUUUACCCCGAGAUAACCUCCUUCAGGUUGCUGUUGUGUUCCAGGACACAUUUUGAAGUCACCCACACCCCCCACUGCUGGCAAGCCAUCUGAACUUUGGACAUCUUGGAUGUUUCCUGGCAAUAGUCCUAAAACCAAGGUCUGGACACAGUCCUCUCUAUGCAUCCCUGGAAGACGUAUCCCAAGAUCUCCAAUGGAUGCCAAGAGACUUUAGAAGAGCCUUUGAAAUGUCCGUCUUCCACCGAGAACAGCAACAUGCAGGCGAAACGCUUCCAUGCUCCCACGAUAUCUCUCACUUCCCCGUCUCUCGCUCACUCCCACUCUGCGUUAGACUGGGGGAGGGCAGAGGAGAAGAGAGCAGGGGAACUGUAAUCCCAGGAUAGAGAUCUAAGACCCCUUUGAUGCAAGGGGAGCCACCAAAGAACGCAUCACAAGGGAAGGUUGCCAUCAGAUUCCGAGUCUUGUUAAGGCCAUGGUGGGAGCUGCUUCAAGUGGCAUGGGAAGCUGGGAAAGACACAUGCUGGCCCUGUGGCUAGAGCGGAUGGAGGAACACCUCUAACAAGAUGUGUGAACCCCGAGUCCCACGUGUUGGCCGUUGCAGUGCUAAGCCUCGGACUGCGUGGCCGCCUGACUCGUAGCUUUGAAAACACAGUGGCCGGUGCUGUUCGUGAGGCCUAAAAAAGAGAACCAAGUGUCAUUAUUCAGCCCUGGCCUUUCCCAUCCGAAGUCUUUUUCUAGUCCAUUUGAAGAAUUCCAGGACGAGAAUCAGGGUCGAGGCGGAUUCUUCCACACCUGUAGAAUGAGGUGUCCUCCAUGUGUGCGAUCUGCCCAGACAAUCUGAGGUUGCCCAGUGUGUGGCCCAACUGCAUCCUGGAUAUGCCAGCCAGUGUUUGCUUCACAGGGGUGGCCUCCUGCACUGUGGACAUCUGUCCCCUUCAGGACUGGUUGAGGGAAGGGGUGUGCUCCCUCUCGGAAUGAGGACAACGCCGAGGCAUCAGAGAGGAGCUUGGACCGUACCAUGGGAGUGCUCUGCCACCAAACACUGGACGGAGGCCAGGAGGAUCGCCUGACCCGCCUGAUCACUGAUGGGACAGCACUGCCAUCUGCCAGGUGUGCAGACACACUUCACACGGGAGCCAAUAGGUGGCAGAGUGAUCUUUUCUAGACCUCACGGUGGAAAUCGCUACAGGGUCUGUAGCAGGGCUUCAGCAACUGAGUGUCUUGGCUUGCAACACCACCGCCUCUCCCCCCCCCCCCCCAGUUAAAGUUCUUCCCAUAGUCCAGCCAUUCAGACAGGUUAGUGCUUAAGUUUGUAAAAAUAUUUACAGGCAGCUGAAAUAGCAGGAUGCAGAACAAUUAGCCAGAAUACCCACAGACACACAUCUAUUGCCUUAAGUUGUGCCUUCUUGUGUUUAGAGAUUUUGUUUUUUUCCUUUGUUUGUUUUGUGUUUUUAGGACAUUUCCUUUUCUGUUGACAUGUAGAGGUGAACAUGAAAACCACGGCAGUAUGACAUCCCUCAUGACAGUACAGCAGAGUCAUAGUGGAGGACUGAGCUGGAGGUCAGUGUCCACAGUCAAACCCCUGUGAGUGGUCCACACACAUGCUAGGGAGGGACCUGAGAAGUGAGUCUCCUUAAAAGACUAAAAAUAGAACUGAGAGCUGAUAUCAGGUUAGGAAUUCCCUGUUAUCAGUCUCACUUUCGCAUGCUGCUGACUUAUUAUUGUUGUCCUUCAUUAAAAAAUGAUACAAGCAUAAUAACUCCAGCAGCUGCACAGAGAGAAAGCACACACACACACACACACACACACACACACACACAUGGAAAUUGGGAAGGCAGUUCCAGAGUGACCUCCGGAGUCUUUAUGGCUGUCAUGCAUUUGUUAUGUCUCAGGUAGACUCUGGGAUUGUUUGCCUAAGGCAUGGGGGUCCUCUCUGGCUCCACCCUUGGCUCUGAUCCCGUUGAGACAAGGGGCUGGUGAGAUGGCCCGUGGGGAAAGGCACUUGCUGCCAUGUCUGGCCACCCACAUUCCAACCCAGUGACAUACAAGGUAAAAUGAGAGGCUGACUCCCUCUGUUGUCCUCGGAUGGCCACAUGGCAUUGUGGUUCAUGGGUGCCCACACACACACACACACACACACACACACACGUACAUAGUGCACACGCAAUAAAUAAAUAAACAGAUAAAUAAAUAAACAAAUGCAGCAGAACGAGGGUGGUGGUUGCCUUGCGUAUAUCAUUAAGGAUUACCAAAAACCAAACUUAAAACAAAAACAAAAGCAAAAAAACACCCCACAAAACAAACACUCUGGAUAAACAAAAUAAACACUAAAUGAAUGCAGAUAAUAAAUUUUUAAAGACUAAGUGGAACGGAAUGAAGGAGACCCCAUCAUGAUUAAAAGUUCAUAAGUCUAAGGAAGAAUGAAGCCGUAAACAAUCUGAGGCAAAAGGAAGAAUGAAGGACCACCCUAGGGCCAUGGCUUCCACCCUCCACACAAUGGAAAACUAUGCUGUCCUGAAAAAUGAGUAUAAGACCAUCUCAAACACGCUGGUGUUUCCUCUGAGGACUUCGGUUCUUUUUAAAAGCACCAUGGUGUAAGAGAUUUGUCGCUCCUUCUGUCUGCUCUCCUGGCAGGCCUCACGCUCCAGGUUGUGUGGUGGGCCGCCAAGCCACAGCACUAUAUGGUGCGGCUGAGACAUGUUCAGAUACACCAGAGGAUUCUUCUCAGAGAUCCAGAGUCCCGACUCUGAUUUAAGCAGAUUACAGAACCCCGUGAUCACUACAGAGUAGCAAAAAGGGGUCCUACCUUCCUCCCUGCCUUCUGUCACAAGGAACAGCCUUUAUUGUUUUGUAUGUGUGUUGUAUGCAUAUGUGUACACAUAUUCCCUUGUGUCUGGACAUCCAUGUGUGCACAAUGAAUAUGGA